rnacentral:lncRNA from 1 species
UUUUUUUUUUUAAUGAUUUUUAUUUUUUCCAUUAUAGCUGGUUUACAGUGUUCUGUCAAUUUUCUACUGUACAGCAAAGUGACCCAGUCACACAUACAUAUAUAUAUUCUUUUUCUCACAUUAUCCUCCAUCUUGCUCCAUCACAAUUGCCUAGAUAUAGAUGCCAGUGCUAUACAGCAGGAUCUCAUUGCUUAUCCAUUCCAAAGGCAAUAGUUUGCAUCUAUUAACCCCAGAUUCCCAGUCCAUCUCACUCCCUCCCCCUCCCCCUUGGCAACCACAAGUGUGUUUUCCAAGUCCAUGAGUUUCUUUUCCGUGAAACGGUUCAUUUGGGCCAUAUAUUAGAUUCCAGAUAUAAGGGAUAUCAUAUGGUAUUUGUCUUUGUCUUUUGGACUUAUUUUACUUAGUAUGAGAGUCUCUAGUUCCAUCCAUGUUGCUGCAAAUGGCAUUAUUUUAUUUUUUAUGGCUGAGUAGUAUUCCAUUGUAUAUAUGUAUAACAUCUUCUUUAUCCAUUCAUCUGUUGAUAUGCAUUUAAGUUUUUUCCAUGUCUUGUUUCAUGUAUUGUGAAUGGUGCUGCAAUGAACAUAGGGUUCCAUGUAUCUUUUUGAAUGAAAAGUUUUGUGCAGAUAUAUGCCCAGGAGUGCUAUUGCUGGGUCAUAUGGUAGUUCUAUAUUUAAAUUUGAUCAUUUUCAAGUAUAGAAGAUGUCCCCUACCUAUAUACUUAACAAAUGAAUAUUUGAAUCAUGAAUGCUAGAUGGAGUUACUCUUUGAAAACUUCCUGGAAGUAGUGAUUUGCAAAUCUUCCAAAUGAUCUCAGAAAAGAAAGUAACAAAAAUCUUAAUAAGUGCAGUACAUUGUUACAAGUAGACUGGAUGUCACUUGACUCUGAUUUUGCCUUGGUCUGAUAACAAAGGUUUUUAAGGGGAUGAGGGGAUGAUGGAUACCGGGACUGGGCAGUAAUCUGUAGGACUUCAAAAGGGAACAUUGGUGUUGGCUUGAAACAGAAGAGUUAAAAAUCGAAAUCAAGCCCAAUAGGACCCACAUGUCUCAAGUCAGCAAAAUCAUAAAGAAUAAUUCUGCUGACUCUUACAGUGUGGUGGUCUUCUAGCCCUUCUACUUCCUGUCAGAGCCCACAAAUGAUAUCUCCCAGAAAGCACCAACCUCAGAAAAAACAAAACAAAACAAAACAAAACACACCUUUUUUUUUUUUUUUUUUUACGCCAACCUCAGGAAGUUGAUUCUCUGCAUUCUGUCACAUUCACAAUUAAUUAGCUUAAAGCUCCUUGAAAGAAUAUUUAUGCUGUUGUGGCUGAUUUGCUUGAAAGAGUAGAAAUGUGUGGGCCUUCAGAAGGGUGUCGUGGUACUAAAGGCUUGGCUCCCACAGCUCUUUUUUUUCCUGAGGAUAACUUACAUUAAAUACAGUCAACAACUGUGGUCUUUAAAGGAGUUUGGGGAGAACCUGAUCCCUCAGUGAAACAAGCAAAAGGUUGAAAACAGUUUCCAUGAAAAAUAAUAUUUUCAAGGGCUCGUUGGGUGGUCUCCUGAAGCAUGCCACCAGGUGGAAGAAGCCAAAACAUUUAAUUUCAUCCAGGCAGUCUCGUCCACAGUGGAUCUGAUGAAGGCCUGGCUUCAUUCAUGCAUGGAGGGGUUGGGUCCUCCUGCCACCUUAGGCCUCUACUGCAGAAUUUAUCCUUUGAGUGACCAUAUUCUUCUCAUGAGUGAUUUCCUCUCUUGGCCAUAUCUAUGACAGCACUGCAUUUCUAGCAGGAAGGUUUGAGCUUCGCCCAAAGUCUUCUCCAUACUUCAGAAGGCAGCCCUAAAAAUUCCCUGGAAAUUGAUCUGAGUCCUACUACCCUUUGUGGACAGGUCCAGAUUUUAUUACUCAUGGAUCAUGUGGUUUAGACAUGACCUUGACUUGGGAGGCACAGGGCCAGGGUUCCCAGUGGGAUGCUGAUACUCACUGGCUAUGGGACCUACCUCUCUGAGCUCAGUACUUUUGAUGUUACCAUCGUUGCUGUUGUUCUGAUGAAUAACUAGAAUUUGUUAUUAGUUUCUUGUGAGUCAUGGACCCAGAUAAAUGUUUAUCUGGAUUAUCUCAAGAGCCUCUCGGAGUUGGGGUUAGUAGAUGCAAACUAUUAGAUGUAGAAUGAAUAAACAGUGGGUUCUGCUUUACAGCACAGGGAACUGUAUCCAGUCUCUUGGGAUAGAACAUGAUGGAAGAUAAAAUAGGAAAGGGAAUGUGUGUACACACACACACACACACACACACACACACACACACCACUGCCUCAUGCAGAAGGAAAGUGUCUUCAGGACACAGAUAUUUCCUGUCUUGCUCAUCAUUGCUGCCAUUGCACCACCUCCAUCACCACCUUCCCUAGUCUAAGUUCUUUUGAUGCAUUAAGGACCAGCAUCUCAGCUCCGUCUUACAUGCAGGCUGGGAGAUGCUUGUAAGAAGAAGUCAUCAUCACCUCCUCUAACACCCCCCAAAUCUCUGCCCAUGGCUCUUAGAUGCACUUCUUACUCUCUAGUUAUAUAAGUGGGUAUCUAAUUCCUCCUCAUUUAGUACAAGUAAUUUGGGUACAGGAUUUAUGUCUAACUCACCUUCGUGUAUCCCCACAGUGCUUAGAAUGCUGCUUGGCACAGAACAGCUGUUCAAUAAAUAUCUCAACAAGUAGCUCUGUUUUUUGUACCCAGUUCCACUGAUGACAGAAUAACCCUGGCCUUACUCAUCCCCUUACGAGGGAAAUCAUGAAUAAGAAGUCCUGGCCAUAUGUCUUCUUGAAUUCUAACGCCACUGUUGCAAAGAUCUCUUCAUGGAGGUCUUUUCUUUGGCUUAACCAACCACGAUGAACUUUCAGCAACAGGCAAGAAAAGAUAAGCAGGCACCCAAAGAAGAUAGAAUAUUCCAAAGUCACUUUGUCUCGCCUUGGCUGGGAAUUCAGAGCCAAACGCUGUAUUCUAGCCACGCUGCCCCCUCUCUCUGGGAUGUGGGGAAGGAGAGGAAAGGCAGUGUCCCAGAAAGCCAGAGGGGACGAGAGGUGGAUGGCACGCAUGUCAGGGCCAGUGUUCCCCUCGAGCCAGCAUCACUUAUGCAAUUUCUUCUCCAUUUUGUGGUUUUUUAAGGAGAGAGGGAGCUAUAGUCUCUUACUUGUCCUGUAAGAUUUCUCCCUACCCCCUCUUAUCCCAUCUCUCGGCUGGGGAAUCUCCUAUAGAAGAGCUUUUGGAAAGCCCUGACCUGGAUCAGGUGAGGCAACUUGAGACGUUUAACAAAUAUUUAUAGCACCUAUUAUGUGGCUGGAUACUGCUUGCCUCCAGGCCUGCCCACUCACAUUUCAAGAGGUUCUACCAAUAAGAAAUUUCCAGUCCUGUUUCCAGCCAAACUACUAACUGCCCCAGAAGUAUUAGGUUGAAACCUGUCCAUCAUGAGUGAGCCUGCCAUUCCUCCUUCAUUUAGAUGCAGGUCCACCUGGACCAUGUACACUGUGGACUACCUGAGGUGACACCUGUAGUCCCAGUCUCUCUAAUAGAUGCCCCGCCUGAGAUUUUCAUAAAAAAUAAAAAUCUGUCUUUAAAAUCAUGAUAUCAGUGCAUGACCUCUAUAUCUCUGGAGGAGACUCAUCCUGUCCCAUUUCAGGUACCCGACAGCUCUUUAGACAAAGGUCGCCAGAAAAUGGUUACCAUGGUUGCACUGGGAACCUCCAGUUUUUUGGUUAUUCCAGCCAAAAUAUAGAGAGCUGCCAGGUUCUUUUUCCUAGCUGGGACACAUUUGCUGAAGAACACCACCGUCCAAAUGCAGCUAUCCUCUGCUUUUUGAAAGUUCAGUUCAUGCCAUUUAACUUUUAUAAAAGUACCUGUUUUCAUAACCAAAAGAAAUCCAGAGGGGAUUUUCCCUUUGACAGAAAAAGGCAAAAAGUGAAAAUAGCGUUCAGUUGUUGGUUUUGCAGUGAGCUGUUUUAGCGGCAGCAUGAACCCCUGAGCAGGGAGGGCAGCCUCGCCAAGCUCCCUCCCAGGGACUACACUCGGCAUCCUGGCAUCAAGCCGCCAUAGCCUUGAACUGUCAGUGAGCUUCUGUGAUUUACCUCGACUUAUUUUGCCUGCCCAUUAGCAAGACGCAUCCUAAGGCAAUUGCUUCUUUGCUUUCCAUCAUUUGGGCUUUCAAGAGGUUUCAUAGGAACACCCUCCUUUUGGAUAGUGGGGCAAACCUUGACUGUAAAAUAACAGGGGGUGCGUAAUGGAGCGAUUCAGGGUGAGGUUGACAGUAAUGAAACUGGAACACCCAUCGUGUUCAGUAUGCGUUCUGGACAGCUUCACUGUUUGAAGUGUGCUGUCCCUGCCCUCCAUGGAAAUGGUCAGGUUGCCAGCCUGUGUGCUGCAGGCCAUGGAGAAAGCAGCUCUUUCCUUACAGCUAGAUAGCAAGGCAUAAAGUACCCCCUGACAUAUCCUCCAUUCUUCUCUUCCCGGGCAUUUUCCCCAGGAAGAUGCUUUAAUAUCCAAUUGAUAAAAUCCCAUGAAAGAAGAAAGAACUUAUAAUAAAAUGAGACUGGAAUCCUUUUCUCCCCACAACGCCCUUAUGCUCCCGCUGAAUGAACAGAUUUGAAACACGAGUAUUGUGAACUUGGGAAUUGGAAAAAAGCCUAAAAGUUACCUCUUCCAGGGAGUUCCCAUCGUGGUUCAGCGGUGACGAACCUGACUAGGAUCCGUGAGGACAUGGGUUCGAUCCCUAGCCUUGCUCAGUGGGUUAAUGAUCUGGCAUUGCCGUGAGCUGUGGUGUAGGUCACAGAUAUGGUUCAGAUCUGGUGUUGCUGUGGCUGUGGUGUAGGCUGGCAGCUACAGCUUCGAUCAGACCCCUAGCCUGGGAACUUCCAGGUGCGGCCCU